AUUGAACGCUGGCGGCAGGCCUAACACAUGCAAGUCGAGCGGAUGAAGGGAGCUUGCUCCUGGAUUCAGCGGCGGACGGGUGAGUAAUGCCUAGGAAUCUGCCUGGUAGUGGGGGAUAACGUCCGGAAACGGGCGCUAAUACCGCAUACGUCCUGAUGGAGAAAGUGGGGGAUCUUCGGACCUCACGCUAUCAGAUGAGCCUAGGUCGGAUUAGCUAGUUGGUGGGGUAAAGGCCUACCAAGGCGACGAUCCGUAACUGGUCUGAGAGGAUGAUCAGUCACACUGGAACUGAGACACGGUCCAGACUCCUACGGGAGGAAGCAGUGGGGAAUAUUGGACAAUGGGCGAAAGCCUGAUCCAGCCAUGCCGCGUGUGUGAAGAAGGUCUUCGGAUUGUAAAGCACUUUAAGUUGGGAGGAAGGGCAGUAAGUUAAUACCUUGCUGUUUUGACGUUACCAACAGAAUAAGCACCGGCUAACUUCGUG
rnacentral:rRNA from 1 species